UACGUAGGGACCAAGCGUUGUUCGGAUUUACUGGGCGUAAAGGGCGCGUAGGCGGCGCGGUAAGUCACUUGUGAAAUCUCUGAGCUUAACUCAGAACGGCCAAGUGAUACUGCAGUGCUAGAGUGUGGAAGGGGCAAUCGGAAUUCCUGGUGUAGCGGUGAAAUGCGCAGAUAUCAGGAGGAACACCGGUGGCGAAGGCGGAUCUCUGGGCCAUUACUGACGCUGAGGAGCGAAAGCGUGGGGAGCGAACAGG
rnacentral:rRNA from 1 species